GUAGGGAAUCUUGCGCAAUGGGCGAAAGCCUGACGCAGCCAUGCCGCGUGAAUGAUGAAGGUCUUAGGAUUGUAAAAUUCUUUCACCGGGGACGAUAAUGACGGUACCCGGAGAAGAAGCCCCGGCUAACUUCGUGCCAGCAGCCGCGGUAAUACGAAGGGGGCUAGCGUUGCUCGGAAUUACUGGGCGUAAAGGGCGCGUAGGCGGACAGUUUAGUCAGAGGUGAAAGCCCAGGGCUCAACCUUGGAAUUGCCUUUGAUACUGGCUGUCUUGAGUACGGGAGAGGUGAGUGGAACUCCGAGUGUAGAGGUGAAAUUCGUAGAUAUUCGGAAGAACACCAGUGGCGAAGGCGACUCACUGGCCCGUUACUGACGCUGAGGCGCGAAAGCGUGGGGAGCAAACAGGAUUAGAUACCCGGGUAGUCC
rnacentral:rRNA from 1 species